AAAGAGAUUCUCCUGGUACUGCCAGCAGUGACAAGCCAAGGCCUGCUCGAAGGAACACACCAAAGCCUAGCCAGAGAAAAGAAGUUGUGAAGACCUCGAAGUUUGUUAAAGGGCAGGAACUGGAUGGCACAGUGAAGAAUUUGACCAGGUCUGGUGCUUUCAUCUCUCUCCCUGAGGGUGAGGAAGGAUUCUUGCCUGCAUCAGAAGAAUCUGAAGAUGGAUUUCUAAACAUAAUGGGGGGCUCAUCACUGCAGGUUGGCCAGGAAGUUAGCGUUAGGGUAUUGCGUGUUGCCAGGGGACAGGUUACCUUGACAAUGAAGAAGGAAGAGGAGAAUAAGUUUGAUCAGGAACUUAUC
rnacentral:misc_RNA from 1 species